CUUGCUGUUUGGAAGAAAAGCUAUGACCAACUUAGACAGCAUAUUCAAAAGCAGAGACAUUACUUUGCUGACAAAGGUCCGUCUAGUCAAAGCUGUGGUUUUUUCAGUAGUUGUGUAUGGAUGUGAGAGUUGGACUCCAAAGAAAGCUGAGGGCUGAAGAAUUGAUGUUUUUGAACUGUGGUGUUGGAGAAAACUCUUGAGAGUCUCUUGGACUGCAAGGAGAUCAAACCAGUCCAUCCUAAAGGAAAUCAGUCCUAAAUAUUCGUUGGAAGGACUGAUGCUGAAGCUGAAACUCCAGUACUUUGGCCACCUGAUGCGAAGAGCUGACUCAUUGGAAAAGACCCUGAUGCUGGGCAAGAUUGAAGGCAAGAGCAACAGGGGACGACAGAGGACAAGAUGAUUGGAUGGCAUCAUCGACUCAAUGGAUGUGAAUUAUACCAUUAGCAGAGAAACUAGAGUGAAGCCCACAGAUAUGCCUGAUGGAACCAAGAUCAUGAAGAGUAGUCAAGAGCUCAAGUAUUACUUGUAUGCUAAAAGUAAAAAUCGAAAGCAAAUAGGUAAUCUGGUGAGCAGCUGAGACAGAAUGUCUGGGUUCCCACUGAGUGGCUGAUGGAGGAUUGAAGAAGCAGAUGCUCUGGUCUCAAACCUAGAGUUCAGUUCAGUCGCUCAGUUGUGUCCAACUCUUUGCA
ensembl:lncRNA